ACGUUCUCCAGCCAUCUCACCAUCCUGGCUGGCCUUUUCUGUGUGGACUUUAGCUUGGGUACGGCUUUCUUGAAAAGGAGUACCCAGAACCAGGGGAAACUGAAUGCACAGGACAAACAGAACCUAUUGGACCAACUUCAGUUUGGAACGAGGAUGAAGCUGCUCAGUUGGUCAGUAGAGAGGGCGCUAUCUGGUGUGUAGGUAUGACACAAUUCAGCUCUUCCCUCAUUUGAUUUCCUUGGUUUGGCACUCUGAAGAGGUUGCUGGUCCAUCAUGCCAUUCCAACCAUGUGCCUGGGACCUCAGAGAAGGUGACUGAGAGCUGUUGGCUGGUCAGGAGGCAAAUGAUGACUGCUUGACUCUUUGUAGCUGCUGCUGCUACUUCUGAAGUGUGCAAUGGUACGAGCUGACCUGGGAAAGAUGCCAAAAAGUUGUCAUAGAUGGUGGAGUGGCUGGCUUUGAGAGGUGGCGGCUUGCCCCUUGGAGGCGUUGAAGGGGAAGCUGGACAGCUGCUUGUUGGUUAUGGUGUAGUGGGGACUCCUUUGGGCUCUGGACUGGACAAGAUGGCAGUGAGGUCCCUUCAGACUAUCAAACUCUAUAAUUCAGUGAGGUUUGCAAAGCACUUUACAAAUAUUUUCGCAUCUGCGGUUCACAACAACCUCAGAAGGAACCAAUAGGGAGAUUCUCUCAGGAGCCAGGAAGAGGAAAAGCCAAAAGUUACAUGUAAAGCAAGAGGGUCUGAGUAGCUGACUUCUGAGGCCCUGUGGGCCCUAAACCUAACAUCUAUGUGAUACUUGACUGGUGGAGAAUCUGAUGUUCUCCCCUUGUCCUAACGUGGCUCAGAGAAAGCAUAAUCUGCUCGUCUGGAAACCUGCAUGGAAUCUGCUUCUGGUCAAGACAGUCCUCUUCAUGGUUCUGUGAUCCCAGAUAUGGGAGGGCGUGAGAAGAGCAAGUCUCUGUGGCCUCUCAUCCGACCACGUGGCCAGGUCACACCACAGUCCUUGGGUUGACUGGCCUGCACUAGAGCUGGGGUGUGUACUCUCUUUGGGCAGUGCUGAAUGCCACUCUGCCCAGCUGCCACGGCCGUCUCCAAGGGCUGCCUGGGCUAGCCCCAGCAGGGCUGGGUGUGCCAGGAGCAGCCACACGGGGCAUCACUGCGUGGCUGUUUCUCUUGGGUCUUGGGGAACUCACGCCCAUGCUGGGUAGGAUCACUGGCCCCCGGGGCUCCUCAGGCCCUCCAUGUAAAGAGAAAAGCCCCGGACCCAUCACGCACAGUCACCUCCGUCUUAAGACUGGUGGGGAACCAAGAAAGAAAGUGGCAUUACCUUGUUUCCCCCCCAACACAGGAUGGUGACAGGCUCCUGUGAGGUCACCACAGCGGGGCAGGGAGGGAGGGACCAGCCACUGACACAGGAAGGCCAUGUUUUCACCUGACACUGACAUGACCAUGCUGAGGAGGAGCGUCCGGGCUAUGGGAAAAAGAACAGAACAAAGAUGCAGAGAGAAUUUACCAAGAUUUCAGUCAGGCCUUUCACAAGGGUCUACUGCUUUGCUCUUAGAUAAGGAGCGUGGACUAUACAUCGGGACAGUCCUGGGGGUGCAGAGCUGACCUACUGUGUGCAAGGAGCAUCAGUGAUGGUUUGUUGUCACCCACAAGAAGGCUCCCAGUCUCAUCAAUGAUUUAGAGAGCCGGCGUGACACAGCAGAUGGAAAUCUGGGCUGGAAGCCAUGAAAACCUGGGUUCGAGUCCCGCCUUUCACACCUGAUCCCUGGCAGGCUUUAGGCAGCUCUCUGAGACUCUAAGGUACAGGAAAGCUGCCUAUGUGCAUUGAUGGAGGGGCUUUCCUCCCCUGGACCCAUGAGGUCCCUCUACCUGUGAGAUCACAGGCCUGGUCUCUGGUCCUGUAGACAAAGGCACACAUGAUAGCUUUAUCAAAUUUGCAGGGAGUUUUAAGUUGUGAGGAUGUCAGUCAAUAAGCAUUUAUUAAGCACCUACUGCAUACCAAAAUACUGUGCUAAGCAAUGGAUAACAA